rnacentral:misc_RNA from 1 species
AGUUUCAACGAGUUGUGAGCUUAGUGCAUAAGACCAAUUCAAGUGCUUAGAAAGUCAUUUUUAAGGAAUUGGGAUGUCUCGAGUUUGGUUGUAGGCAACAUUAUCCGCUAUCAUUUGUGGCCAAAAAUCAGCUGGUGUUAAGAACACUAGCACCAUCUUUGAAUUCUACCCUUGUCCCAAUGGAGGCACGGUUGGAGGCAGCCUGCAGCACUCCACUUGACAUGCCAUCCAGCAUCCCGGGAUUCUUGAAUGGGGACAUCAGAAUACCUGAACAGACACA